GAAGUAUUGCAAAUCCCAAGGCGAUUACAAAAGUGAUGCAGGAUUUUUGAGUAGACCGGCGAUGUUUACAAUAACUGACAGUCUUAUGAUAAGGCCUAUAUCUCCUCUCUUUGGCGUUUCUGUUUUGAACGAAUUGAAAGUGCCAUUCGCAGACAUUGAGAUGCAAACUGUGCAGGUUGGGAAGGAGGAGGCCCUUGGUCUUUUGGUGACCUCUUUUCUUUGUGACUGCUCUCACCAGUGUAUUCCUCAGUCACAUUAAAUAAAGAACUGUAUCCCGGAGAGCUCGAUUGCCUAAUAUGAUAAGGCUUUGCAUCUUUUGUUUGUGCCUCUUCUCUAUCAAUACCUGCAUUGGGAGCCGAAGCAAGAAUAAUGAGAGCUUGGUUAAUAUAAGAUCCAUAUGAGGAUCUAUCUUUAGUUCUUUUCAUCUUCUGUUCUAAAAGCUUGUAUUAAAAUAGGACUUUGUUUUCUGACCAUGUGGCAUGUUGUCUAGCUACCGUGGGUAUAAAUAAUUCAAAAUAAAUAUAUAACUGUCUGGCCUUCUUGAGCGCGAGUGUAACGUCGGCGUCCCUGCGAGAUCGGAGGUCCUUGAUGGCCUUGGCGUUGUGGAGCGUCUUGCUGUGCUCGUAGGAGGACUGGAGGUUCUGGUGGAGGCGCUUGAGCUCCUUGAUCUAGUCCUUAACGGAUUCGACGUCGCCGAAGAACUUGUCGAGGUUGACGCCGCCGACGACAUCUCAAUCACGUGAUCGUCGUUCGAGUUCUGCUCGCUCCGGAACAGCGAAAACGACCCUGAGUACAACAAGUCGUUCAUGGUUGCUGUUUCUCAAAUCCAAAACGACCCUGAGGGCAAUUUUUUUAAUCUGUUUUUAUAUAUAUUUUUAAGAUCAGUCAGUUUGUGAGUGGGUCCCACAGU